rnacentral:rRNA from 1 species
UACGUAGGGUGCGAGCGUUGUCCGGAAUUAUUGGGCGUAAAGAGCUCGUAGGCGGUGUGUCGCGUCGGCCGUGAAAACCUGGGGCUUAACUCUGGGCGUGCGGUCGAUACGGGCAUCACUAGAGUUCGGCAGGGGAGACUGGAAUUCCUGGUGUAGCGGUGAAAUGCGCAGAUAUCAGGAGGAACACCGGUGGCGAAGGCGGGUCUCUGGGCCAUAACUGACGCUGAGAAGCGAAAGCAUGGGGAGCGAACAGG